rnacentral:lncRNA from 1 species
AAGCUAAAAAUUUUAUAUGAUGGUAUAAUUAAUGGGCAAGUUACCUCAAUGCCACUGGAAAUUUAAAUCAUCCCUUCAAUGCCAUCCCCCUCGAUGCUAUCAAAAUUUUAACCUCAUCCCAUCGGUACAGCAAACUUCAGUACCAUUGCUGUGAUUGCACUAUUACAGAGAUGUUAAAUAAAAAUGAAAAAGACAGUACUACCCCUUAGGUAAAAGAUGAAAUAUUCAUGUUGUUCCCUUUUAUGCCACUGUAGUUAGACAAUCACAUAAUCCAAGAUGCAAGAAUUGAAGCUUCAAGCAUGUUCCGGAUUGACAUUUUAGCACAUUAUGGACUACAGAGAGAUAGUGAAUCAAUGAGUCAAUGAUUCUAUCAGACCAUCUCACCGUCGGAAUAGAGACCGGAAGAACAAGGAGACAGCAACAGUAGAUAAUUUUCAGAUCCAAUCAUUCAGUAUAAGUAAAAUCUUUUCCAAAGAAUGCCUUAAUCUGGAUUGGACUUGGAUUUUUGAAAACAAUACGCGGCAACGCACCAUGGCUACAGAGGCAGAAGGGAUCGCCGAUUCCGAUGUAGCUCGAUUUGUGGAGCUACAGCUGCGGCUUGGUGGUUGCUUCAUUGCUUGGGUAGUUGGGUCAGCUUGCGGUUCUGAACUCAAUGGCUAUUGAUGCUGGUCCUCAUGCCACGGCGCUGCAUC